UAGAAACUAUCACAUCAAUUAUUUUGAAGAGAAACUUCACACAGUGAGAUGAAGAUAAAUGUGUGGCAUUAAAAAGGAAAAUAUAUAAGGAUGGGCUAGUGCAGGUGACCACCAGCUUAUCAUAGUUGCAAGAAAUUGAGAAUGAGUAUGGUGUGUUGCAAAGCCUGCAUAUUCCAAUAUCAGUGCCAGUUUACCAAGAUCUAUGGAAGAGGAAAUAAUGAAGCAUACAAGAUGGUGCAGCUGAUGAACAGUUAUGGUAAUAACUAUUGGAAAAGAUCCGCUAUAUGGUGCAACAAUUUAAUGGAAGAUUCAAAGCCUUUUUCCUAACACUGACAAUUACCAGUUUUAAACAUGUGAUGAACUGCUUAGUUAUCCCUGGCUCACAAAACCGUGGGGAUAAUAUGGUGCUAAAUGAAGCCUGGAAGUCAAAAAUGUGUCAUCGACCGAUGCGAGAUCGUCAACAGUCAGAAAAUCAGAUUUAUGUAAGAUCUCUAGAUUUCGAAGUCAGACGCGCUUUUGGCAAUAACUUCGGGCUACAAGGUAAAUUAUGGACUUCACUGUGGAACGCAACAUUUAUAUACUAUCGGGUACUUAAAGGUGAAAACUGUGUCGGCAGUUUUAUCAUAGUUAUUAUUUAUUGUAAAUCGUAUGUGUUGACCUAUUAAAAUAAACAAGUUACGCAUAAAUGUAGUUAUCUUUUUGAAAAUACCACCAACAUCCGCAAAUUAGCUGAUAAGGCUGAAAAACUGCAGUAGGGCCUAUAGUUACACAUUGACAGUAGGCAGUUACAACUGAAACUGAUAACAUGCAUUUUGUGCAGGUUAUUGAAAGUGCUACAAAUGUAGAAAGUGACACAACUUGUUUAGUGAAGGCUUUACCUGCGACAGUGGCUACAAAUUUGGAGGAAGCUCUCCAAAACCUAAAGAUAAAUUUUAGUCGACGACGUUCAGAUUGCGUAGAAGCUGAAACCAAUGGUGUUACGAUUCUAAACAUCUUGGGUGGAAUCGAAUUACCUGAGGCGUAAACGCUUCUACUCUGUCGAGCAAUGAAUCUGAGAAUCCUGGGGUAUAAUAUCUGUAAUCAAAAAUGUUAAAUCGUAAAACUUGUCUCAGGUGACGCUGUUAAUGCUGUCGUUAUAACUCCUUUUGUUCUAAG